GCCAACAUGGCAUAAUGGUUUGAGUGUUGGACUAUGACUCUGGAAACCAGAGUUUGAAUCCCAGUUCAGGCA